GGGAACUGCGUUNUGAACUGGGUGACUAGAGUGUGUCGGAGGGAGGUAGAAUUCCACGUGUAGCAGUGAAAUGCGUAGAGAUGUGGAGGAAUACCGAUGGCGAAGGCAGCCUCCUGGGAUAACACUGACGUUCAUGCCCGAAAGCGUGGGUAGCAAACAGGAUUAGAUACCCUGGUAGUCCACGCCCUAAACGAUGUCGAUUAGCUGUUGGGCAGCAUGACUGCUUAGUAGCGAAGCUAACGCGUGAAAUCGACCGCCUGGGGAGUACGGUCGCAAGAUUAAAACUCAAAGGAAUUGACGGGGACCCGCACAAGCGGUGGAUGAUGUGGAUUAAUUCGAUGCAACGCGAAGAACCUUACCUGGUCUUGACAUGUACGGAACCCUCCAGAGACGGAGGGGUGCCUUCGGGAGCCGUAACACAGGUGCUGCAUGGCUGUCGUCAGCUCGUGUCGUGAGAUGUUGGGUUAAGUCCCGCAACGAGCGCAACCCUUGUCAUUAGUUGCCAUCAUUAAGUCGGGCACUCUAAUGAGACUGCCGGUGACAAGCCGGAGGAAGGUGGGGAUGACGUCAAGUCCUCAUGGCCCUUAUGACCAGGGCUUCACACGUCAUACAAUGGUCGGUACAGAGGGUAGCCAAGCCGCGAGGUGGAGCCAAUCUCACAAAACCGAUCGUAGUCCGGAUUGCACUCUGCAACUCGAGUGCAUGAAGUCGGAAUCGCUAGUAAUCGCAGGUCAGCAUACUGCGGUGAAUACGUUCCCGGGUCUUGUACACACCGCCCGUCACACCAUGGGAGUGGGGGAUACCAGAAGUAGG
rnacentral:rRNA from 1 species